UACAGAGGUGACAAACGUUGUCCGGAAUUAUUGGGCGUAAAGGGCGCGUAGGUGGUUGAGUAAGUCAGGUGUGAAAGCUCUGGGCUUAACCCAGGAAUUGCAUCUGAUACUGCUCGGCUUGAGUACGGUAGAGGAGGGUGGAAUUCCCAGUGUAGCGGUGAAAUGCGUAGAUAUUGGGAGGAACACCUGUGGCGAAAGCGGCGCACUGGACCAUAACUGACGCUGAGGCGCGAAAGCUAGGGGAGCAAACAGG
rnacentral:rRNA from 1 species